rnacentral:rRNA from 1 species
UUUCGCAAUGCCCGAAAGGGUGACGAAGCGACGCCGCGUGGGUGAGGAAGGCCUUCGGGUUGUAAAGCCCUGUCAGGAGUUAAGAAAUGUAAGUGCGCUAAUAUCGCAUUUAUUUGACGAAGGCUCCAAAGGAAGUCACGGCUAACUCUGUGCCAGCAGCCGCGGUAAUACAGAGGUGGCAAGCGUUGUUCGGAAUUAUUGGGCGUAAAGAGCACGUAGGUGGGCUUGUAAGUCAGAUGUGAAAGCCUUCUGUUCAACGGAAGAAUUGCAUCUGAAACUGCGAGUCUUGAGUGUAGGAGGGGAGAAUGGAACUUCUGGUGGAGCGGUGAAAUGCGUAGAUAUCAGAAGGAACGCCGGCGGCGAAAGCGAUUCUCUGGCCUAUUACUGACACUCAGUGUGCGAAAGCUAGGGGAGCAAACGGGAUUAGAUACCCCGGUAGUCCUAGCCGUAAACGAUGGGCACUAAGUAGAGGGGUUUU